UACAGAGGGGGCAAGCGUUGUUCGGAAUUACUGGGCGUAAAGGGCGCGUAGGCGGCCUGUUAAGUCGAACGUGAAAUCCCCGGGCUCAACCCGGGAACUGCGUCCGAUACUGGCAGGCUUGAAUCCGGGAGAGGGAUGCGGAAUUCCAGGUGUAGCGGUGAAAUGCGUAGAUAUCUGGAGGAACACCGGUGGCGAAGGCGGCAUCCUGGACCGGCAUUGACGCUGAAUAGCGAAAGCCAGGGGAGCAAACGGG
rnacentral:rRNA from 1 species